GACAGAUUUCCAAGGCUGUGUGACAGCUCUGCCCCAAACCUGCUUGGGCACAUUCACUCCCUGCCUCCAUUUCCCAGUUCUUCUGUUUCUUCAUGGGCAGGGACGGUUUCUCUUUGUGUGGCUGUGCUGUAUCUGGUGUAAUAACAACUCUGCAUUGGUUGGGUGCUGCGUGUAAUGUGUAGGGUUGCAAUGCUUAUGGCUGCAAGGUGUAGGGCUGCAGUGCCUAGGGCUGCAAGGUGUAGGGCUGCAAGGCAUAUGGCUGCAAGGUGUAGGGCUGUAAUGCUUAGGGAUGCAAAGUGCAGGGCUAUGAUGCUUAGGGAUGCAAGUUGUAGGGUUGCAAUGCUUAGGACUGCAAGGUGUAGGGCUGCAAUGCUGAGGGCUGCAAAGUGCAGGGCUACGAUGCUUAGGGAUGCAAGGUGUAGGGCUGCAAGGUGUAGGGCUGCAAGGUGUAGGGCUGCAAUGCUUAGGACCACAGUGUGCAAUAGCUGUUGGAGAGGGGAUGUUGCAGCACCUGUGAGCCGUGUGUGCAGUUCACAGUGCCUCUGGGAAGUAGCUAUGCCACCUCUCUUUGAGACAGGGACAGCAGUGAAGCCAUAUGGUGUUUAUCGUCUUUGCCAACACACAAAGGAGGGGAAUAACCCCUGAAGGAACGUGG
rnacentral:lncRNA from 1 species